rnacentral:lncRNA from 1 species
UCAUCAGUGAAGUUCUGAAUCUUGACAGUGGUGCAAAUCUCAAGAAAUUCAUCUAAGUAUUUAUAAGGGUCUUCGUUGGUGAGCCCAUAAAAAGAUGGGAGCAUUUGGAUCACACUAGACUUUAUUUCGUAUUGUACAGCUGCUACCUCAGGUAAUCGAAUGCAAGAUGGGAAAGUGUAAAUGGUGGGAGUAAAGUACUCCCUCAGGAGUUUGGGUUAUUCUUCAGCCAUCUCAGGAGGUGGGGAUGAUUCUAAUGUUCUGAUCUCAGCUCGAAUAUUCCUAAGGGUUCGUUCUAUUUUAGGAUCAAAAGGUAAUAGGUCAC